UGCUUUUCGGAGUUACAAGAGACUAGGUGGACAAUCUAAGGGAACUAAAUUAACAUGGAUUCCAGCACAGUGUGCUCAACAACCGGGAUCACUAGAUUGUGGCUACUACGUCAUGCGUUUUAUGUACGACAUAAUAAUGAAUCAUGGUAAUAGUCAAGAUCUUACUAAGGAUUUUUCAAGAACAUUGCCUUAUUCACCGGAGGAGAUUAAUGAGGUGAAAGAUUUUUGGGCAGAUUACUUCAUGAACAAUGUCGAAUUUUUAGCUUAAUUUGUAAUAUGAACUUGAUCUCUAGCUAGCUACGUACCUUUGUUGUAAUAAUUUUAUGUUUGUUGUAACAUGUUGGUUGAUCGAUCUAUGACGAAUUUAAUUGCCUUUUAUUGGGAACGUUAAUUACGUUGUAAACUUUUGU